UUCUAACAAGAAGAACUCUCUUCCGCUCGAGUGGGUUUCUGCUAAAUUGACACGUUUCUCUUACAGAAUUACAUUUGUUCAAACACAAUAGAUCACCAAAGAUGAAGUCUCUACUACUGACAGUGUUUAGUACAGUUUUACUUCAGAUAGUUUUCACACAACAACCACCUGGUGUUCCACCUCAUCAGCAACAACAAUAUCAAGCACAAGGAGCUGUCCCCCCUCAACAACAGCAACAGCAAGUUUACCAACAGCAACAACAGGUGCAGCCACCAGUACAACCACCUGCUGGUCAGGGUUAUCAACAACCACCAGUACAACAACCUGGGGGUCAAGGUUAUCAACAGCCACCUGUCAAUCAACAAGCACACGGUCACCAACAAGCUCACGGUCACCAACAAGCACAAGGUCACCAACAAGCUCCUCAUAUGCAUGUACAAGAAGGUAGAGGUGGAGAUACUCUAAAAUUUAAAAAUGAUGUUCAUAAUACAGAGCAUAUUAUGGAACAUUUACAAGAGGUUAUAGAAACCAAACCUAAAGAUCAGAUGUCAGAAGAAGAAUUAGAGUUUCAUUAUUUUAAAAUGCAUGAUUAUAACGGUGAUAAUAAAUUAGAUGGUGUAGAGAUCGGAAAAG